GAUGAACGCUGGCGGCGUGCCUAAUACAUGCAAGUCGAGCGAACAGACGAGGAGCUUGCUCCUCUGACGUUAGCGGCGGACGGGUGAGUAACACGUGGAUAACCUAACUAUAAGACUGGGAUAACAUCGGGAAACCGGAGCUAAUACCGGAUAAUAUAUUGAACUGCAUGGUUCAAUAGUGAAAGACGGUUUUUCUGUCACUUAUAGAUGGAUAAGCGCCGCAUUAGCUAGUUGGUAAGGUAAAGGGUUACCAAGGCUGCGAUGCGUAGACGACCCGAGCGGGUGGUCGGCCACACUGGAUCAGAGACAGGGCCCCGACUCUGACGCUAGGCAGCGGUAGGGAAUCUUCCGCGAGGGACGAGUGGGUGACGGUGGAACGUCGGGUGAAUGAUGAUGGACUUCUGACGCGAGAGCUAUGUAAUUAGGGAAGUACAAAAGUGUUAGUAACUAGGCACGUCUUGACGGUACCUAAUCAGAAAGCCACGGCUAACUACGUG
rnacentral:rRNA from 1 species